rnacentral:rRNA from 1 species
GUGUCAGCCGCCGCGGUAAUACGUAGGUGGCGAGCGUUGUCCGGAAUUACUGGGUGUAAAGCGCGUGUAGGCGGGAGGCCAAGUCUGCGGUGAAAUCGCUCGGCUCAACUGGGCGGGGUCCGUGGAAACUGGUCACCUGGAGGACGGUAGAGGCGAGUGGAAUUCCCGGUGUAGUGGUGAAAUGCGUAGAGAUCGGGAGGAACACCAGUGGCGAAGGCGGCUCGCUGGGCCGGACCUGACGCUGAGACGCGAAGGCGUGGGGAGCGAACGGGAUUAGGUACCCCGGUAGUCCACGCAGUAAACGAUGCACACUAGGUGUGGGGGGUAUCGAGCCCCUCCGUGCCGUAGUUAACACAGUAAGUGUGCCACCUGGGGAGUACGGCCGCAAGGUUAAA